AACCUGGUUGAUCCUGCCAGUAGUCAUAUGCUUGUCUCAAAGAUUAAGCCAUGCAUGUCUAAGUAUAAACUGCUUUAUACUGUGAAACUGCGAAUGGCUCAUUAAAUCAGUUAUAGUUUAUUUGAUGGUACCUACUUACUCGGAUACCCAUAGUAAUUCUAGAGCUAAUACGUGCGUACAUCCCGACUUCUGGAAGGGACGUAUUUAUUAGAUAAAAGGCCGACCGGGCUUGCCCGACUCGCGGUGACUCAUGAUAACUUCACGAAUCGCAUGGCCUCGCGCCGGCGAUGUUUCAUUCAAAUUUCUGCCCUAUCAACUUUUGAUGGUAGGAUAGAGGCCUACCAUGGUGGUAACGGGUGACGGAAGAAUUAGGGUUCCGAUUCCGGAGAGGGAGCCUGAGAAACGGCUAC
rnacentral:rRNA from 1 species